AAUCUGGGGUCCCCGACCUCCGAGUUGUAAUUUGGAGAGGCAUCUUCGGGGGGGAGCGCCGGCCCAUGUUCCUUGGAACAGGACGUCACAGAGGGUGAGAAUCCCGUGCCAGGCCGGCUCCCUCCUCCCGGGUGAAGCGCCUUCGACGAGUCGAGUUGUUUGGGAAUGCAGCUCCAAGUGGGUGGUAAGUUUCAUCUAAAGCUAAAUACCGGCGGGAGACCGAUAGCGCACAAGUAGAGUGAUCGAAAGAUGAAAAGCACUUUGAAAAUAGAGUCAAAAAGUACGUGAAAUUGUUGAAAGGGAAGCGCUUGAGACCAGACUCAGGCCCGGGCAAACACCUCGCCCUCCGGGGCCGUGCAAUUGCCUGGGGCUGGGCCAGCAUCAGUCGGCGUGGCGGGACAAAGGUGCGGGGAAUGUGGCUCCCCUCGGGGAGUGUUACCAGCCCCGCGCUCAAUGCCGCCGACGCCGACUGAGGACCGCGCCUCGGCUAGGAUGCUGGCUUAAUGGCCUUCAGCGACCCGUCUUGAAACACGGA
rnacentral:rRNA from 1 species